GACAGAGGUGCCGAGCGUUAGGCGGAAUCACUGGGCUUAAAGCGUGUGUAGGCGGGUCGUUAAGUACCUUGUGAAAUCCCCCGGCUCAACCGGGGAACUGCUGGGUAUACUGGCGAUCUUGAGCCACCUAGGGGCAGUCGGAACAAGUGGUGGAGCGGUGAAAUGCGUAGAUAUCGUCUGGAACGCCGAAGGUGAAAACAGCUCGCUGGGGCUGCGCUGACGCUGAGACACGAAAGCCAGGGGAGCGAACGGG
rnacentral:rRNA from 1 species